CCACGGGAGGCUGCAGUGAGGAAUAUUGGUCAAUGGACGCAAGUCUGAACCAGCCAUGCCGCGUGCAGGAAGACGGCUCUAUGAGUUGUAAACUGCUUUUGUACGAGGGUAAACGCAGAUACGCGUUUCCGUCUGAAAGUAUCGUACGAAUAAGGAACGGCUAACCCCGGGCCAGCAGCCGCGGUUAAACGGAGGGUUCAAGCGUUUAUCGGAUUUAUUGGGUUUAAAGGGUGCGUAUGCGGUCGGAUAAGUUAGAGGUGAAAUCCCGAGGCUCAACUUCGGAAUUGCCUCUGAUACUGUUCGGCUAGAGAGUAGUUGCGGUAGGCGGAAUGUAUGGUGUAGCGGUGAAAUGCUUAGAGAUCAUACAGAACACCGAUUGCGAAGGCAGCUUACCAAGCUACUUCUGACGUUGAGGCACGAAAGCGUGGGGAGCAAACAGGAUUAGAUACCCCUGUAGUC
rnacentral:rRNA from 1 species